AUCAGGAUGGCCGAGUGGUUAAGGCGUUGGACUUAAGGUCCAAUGGACAACAGUCCUCGUGGGUUCAAACCCCACUCCUGGUA